UUUGGUCUAGAAGCUUCCCUGUUCGGGCAAAAAAAGAAGAGAAACAGAGGGUGUGAGAGAGAGAGAGAGAGCUCCAUUGGAGAGGAGAGAUGGGACAGACGAUAGGGGGUAGAGUGGGUGGCCGGGAGCUCGGGAUGAAACUCAUGCAAGAGAGGGUUGAGUUUCAGCUCUGUUCACGGGAAGAAGAACAGAGCAGACCCGAGUAGAGAAACAACGCGAGGGAGAGAUGACGGGCAGAGCAAGAUCGAAGAAGAAGAAGAAGAAGAAGAACAAGAAGAGUAAGAGGAAUGAUAGGUUCAGAGAGUCUUCUAACCUAGCUUGCAUUCGGGUAACGGAUAAGCUUCUAGCUGCGCGGGAGAACCAUUUUUGAUAUCGGUGAUCAGCUCGGAUAACUAGAUAGGGACCUUAAUUAUUUGAUAGACACUCUUUUUUGUAUAGAAUGUAUUUGAAAAUGUUAUGACCUGAAACUUUUAGCUAAUUGGUUUAGUGAUGUAGCUUUGCUGGAAUUAUAUUUAUAUAAAUAAAUACAUGAGAGCUUGUUGGAUUAGUUAUAUGUUUUAGGGAGUUAUGUAAA